rnacentral:rRNA from 1 species
CAGUCGCCGCGGUAAUACGAAGGGUGCAAGCGUUACUCGGAAUUACUGGGCGUAAAGCGUGCGUAGGUGGUGGUUUAAGUCCGUUGUGAAAGCCCUGGGCUCAACCUGGGAAUUGCAGUGGAUACUGGGUCACUAGAGUGUGGUAGAGGAUAGUGGAAUUUCCGGUGUAGCAGUGAAAUGCGUAGAGAUCGGAAGGAACAUCUGUGGCGAAGGCGACUAUCUGGGCCAACACUGACACUGAGGCACGAAAGCGUGGGGAGCAGACAGGAUUAGAUACCCCAGUAGUCCCUGUCUCUUAUAC